UUUGUACUUCCUCCGUUCGAAAAUACUUGUCAUCAAGACGAAUAAAAGGAGAUGUAUCUAAAUGUAUUUUAAUUUUAGAUACACCCCUUUUUAUUCAUUUUAAUAACAAAUAUUACCGGACGAAGAAAGUACGUC
rfam:Triticum aestivum genome assembly, contig: Triticum_aestivum_CS42_TGACv1_scaffold_472602_6AL